rnacentral:rRNA from 1 species
CCUACGGGCGGCAGCAGUGGGGAAUAUUGGACAAUGGGGGCAACCCUGAUCCAGCCAUGCCGCGUGUGUGAAGAAGGCCCUCGGGUUGUAAAGCACUUUCAGUGAGGAAGAACGCCUGGUGGUUAAUACCCAUCAGGAAAGACAUCACUCACAGAAGAAGCACCGGCUAACUCCGUGCCAGCAGCCGCGGUAAUACGGAGGGUGCGAGCGUUAAUCGGAAUUACUGGGCGUAAAGCGCGCGUAGGUGGCUUGAUAAGCCGGUUGUGAAAGCCCCGGGCUCAACCUGGGAACGGCAUCCGGAACUGUCAAGCUAGAGUGCAGGAGAGGAAGGUAGAAUUCCCGGUGUAGCGGUGAAAUGCGUAGAGAUCGGGAGGAAUACCAGUGGCGAAGGCGGCCUUCUGGACUGACACUGACACUGAGGUGCGAAAGCGUGGGUAGCACACAGGAUUAGAUACCCGGGUAGUC